rnacentral:rRNA from 1 species
UACAGAGGUCCCAAGCGUUGUUCGGAUUCAUUGGGCGUAAAGGGUGCGUAGGUGGCGCCGUAAGUCAGGUGUGAAAUCUCGGGGCUUAACUCCGAAACUGCAUUUGAUACUGCGGUGCUUGAAGACUGGAGAGGAGACUGGAAUUUACGGUGUAGCAGUGAAAUGCGUAGAGAUCGUAAGGAAGACCAGUGGCGAAGGCGGGUCUCUGGACAGUUCCUGACACUGAGGCACGAAGGCCAGGGGAGCAAACGGG